rnacentral:rRNA from 1 species
GAUGAACGCUGGCGGCGUGCCUAAUACAUGCAAGUAGAACGCUGAAGCUUGGUGCUUGCACCGAGCGGAUGAGUUGCGAACGGGUGAGUAACGCGUAGGUAACCUGCCUGGUAGCGGGGGAUAACUAUUGGAAACGAUAGCUAAUACCGCAUAACAGUCGACAUUGCAUGAUGUUGAUUUGAAAGGGGCAAUUGCUCCACUACCAGAUGGACCUGCGUUGUAUUAGCUAGUUGGUGAGGUAACGGCUCACCAAGGCGACGAUACAUAGCCGACCUGAGAGGGUGAUCGGCCACACUGGGACUGAGACACGGCCCAGACUCCUACGGGAGGCAGCAGUAGGGAAUCUUCGGCAAUGGACGGAAGUCUGACCGAGCAACGCCGCGUGAGUGAAGAAGGUUUUCGGAUCGUAAAGCUCUGUUGUAAGAGAAGAACGAGUGUGAGAGUGGAAAGUUCACACUGUGACGG